rnacentral:rRNA from 1 species
CGCAAGCCUGACGGAGCAACGCCGCGUGAGGGAUGGAGGCCUUUGGGCUGUAAACCUCUUUUCUCAAGGAAGAAGAUCUGACGGUACUUGAGGAAUAAGCCACGGCUAAUUCCGUGCCAGCAGCCGCGGUAAUACGGGAGUGGCAAGCGUUAUCCGGAAUUAUUGGGCGUAAAGCGUCCGCAGGCGGCCGUUUAAGUCUGUUGUUAAAUCGUGGAGCUCAACUCCAUCACGGCAAUGGAAACUGUUCGGCUUGAGUAUGGUAGGGGCAGAGGGAAUUUCCGGUGUAGCGGUGAAAUGCGUAGAUAUCGGGAAGAACACCAGUGGCAAAAGCGCUCUGCUGGGCCAUUACUGACGCUCAUGGACGAAAGCCAGGGGAGCGAAAGGGAUUAGAUACCCCUGUAGUCCUGGCCGUAAACGAUGAACACUAGAUGUUGGGGGAAUCGACCCCCUCGGUGUCGUAGCUAACGCGUUAAGUGUUCCGCCUGGGGAGUACGCACGCAAGUGUGAAACUCAAAGGAAUUGACGGGGGCCCGCACAAGCGGUGGAGUAUGUGGUUUAAUUCGAUGCAACGCGAAGAACCUUACCAAGGCUUGACAUCCUGCGAAUCUCCAAGAAAUUGGAGAGUGCCUUUUGGAACGCAGUGACAGGUGGUGCAUGGCUGUCGUCAGCUCGUGUCGUGAGAUGUUGGGUUAAGUCCCGCAACGAGCGCAACCCACGUUUUUAGUUGCCAGCAUUCAGUUGGGCACUCUAGAAAGACUGCCGGUGACAAACCGGAGGAAGGUGUGGACGACGUCAAGUCAUCAUGGCCCUUACGCCUUGGGCUACACACGUACUACAAUGCUGCGGACAAAGAGUAGCGAUCUUGCGAAAGUUAGCUAAUCUCGUAAACCGUGGCUCAGUUCAGAUCGUAGGCUGCAACUCGCCUACGUGAAGGAGGAAUCGCUAGUAAUCGCAGGUCAGCAUACUGCGGUGAAUACGUUCCCGGGCCUUGUACACACCGCCCGUCACACCAUGGGAGUUGGCCAUGCCCGAAGUCGUUACUCUAACCUUUUGGAAGAGGGCGCCGAAGGCAGGGCUAAUGACUGGGGUGAAGUCGUAACAAGGUAGCCGUAGCGGAAGCUGCGGCUGGAUCACCUCCUAA